GACGAACGCUGGCGGCGUGCUUAACACAUGCAAGUCGAACGGAAAGGCCUGCUUUCCCUUGUGGAUUGCGGGUACUCGAGUGGCGAACGGGUGAGUAACACGUGAGUGAUCUGCCCCCAACUUGGGUAUAAGCCUGGGAAACUGGGUCUAAUUCCCGAUAGGACUGCAGGGUGGUGCCUGUGAUGGAAAACGAUUUUCUAGUGGUUGGGGAUGAGCUCGCGGCCUAUCAGCUUGUUGGUGGGGUAAUGGCCUACCAAGGCGGCGACGGGUAGCCGGCCUGAGAGGGUGGACUGCCACAUUGGGACUGAGAUACGGCCCAGACUCCUACGGGAGGCAGCAGUGGGGAAUAUUGCACAAUGGGCGGAAGCCUGAUGCAGCGACGCCGCGUGGGGGAUGACGGCCUUCGGGUUGUAAACUCCUUUCGACCGCGAGGAAGCCACCUGGUUGGAAGGGUGGUGACGGUAGUGGUAGAAGAAGCACCGGCUAACUACGUG
rnacentral:rRNA from 1 species